GUCUGCAACCCGACUCCACGAAGCUGGAUUCGCUAGUAAUCGCGCAUCAGCCACGGCGCGGUGAAUACGUUCCCGGGCCUUGUACACACCGCCCGUCAAGCCAUGGGAGCCGGGGGUACCUGAAGUACGCGACCGCAAGGAGCGUCCUAAGGUAAAACUGGUGACUGGGGCUAAGUCGUAACAAGGUAGC
rnacentral:rRNA from 1 species